AGAAGUCCAGGGCUAGGAGCCUCAGCCGGCGGACGCCAGGAAACAGUUACUGAUGCUACAAUAUUCCUUUAUGAAGCCAAGAACUGAACCAAAAUACAAACAACAUAAACUACCACUUGAUGAGAAGAACUUCAAAGUCAAAUUGCAAAAGGUGACUAAAAAAGGGGAGUACUUUCAGCCGUUUUCAAAAUAAUCUAUGAUAUGUACUGGAAAACUUCUAAUAAUCCUUGUCAUUUUACAACUUUCCCACAGUUAGAUCAUCAGCAAAUGUCACUUGGAUCCCUAGCUAAAUUGUUCUUCCCAGAAAAUAGUUAUCUCCACUAUGGAAAGUAUUUUAUCAGAAGAAUUCGUAGAAGUAGAAUCUGUUUGUCUUCAGUUAAACAAAAGAAGAACCUCAUUGCUUUCCAACUGGGCCCCGGCCAUUUUCCAGUUGAAACAUCAAAUAUUUUAUUUGUGUCUUUCACUGCCAAUUAAAGGGCAACAGAAAUGGUACAGAAAUAUCUGAAUGAAAUGCUCAUGAAAGGAUUAAGAAAGUCUGCAGUUGAGCCUGGAGCCAGCAAAAGACAUCAUCACUAAAAGUAUAUGCAUGACCCGCAUUUGUUGCCUUUAUGGUCCUUACCCAAGAUAUUUGAAUUCACCAGAAUGGUCUUAAUAUGGUAUUGUAAGUACCUGGAUCUGAAAACCAUUAAGUAUGAGAGUGCGCUGUAUUGGUGAUGCCAGUUUGUGGACUCCUUAUGUAAAUAAAUGAAGGACAAGUUAAAAACUGCAGUCACUCAUGUGAAAUAUAAAAGGCUGGCAGAAUACGGCUAAAUGUCGAGGUCUAGCCCAAUGUGUGAGAUUUAGAGAAAUCAUGUAUUCCAAUAAAAUCAGAUAUACUCCUGAAA
rnacentral:lncRNA from 1 species